UAGGAAAAUGGCUGAAGCGGGGCCAGUCUGAGGUUGGAUUUUGUUUCCUGGAAAUUCCAGAAUUUUGCCCUUAUUGCUGAAUUUGAGCCUUGAGGUGAAUCAAAAAAGGGAGUGUCUCCUAAAAUGCCUUAUGGUGUACCUUGGGGAAGAUGUUGACCAUCUAAUCAAGGAGUAUCUGGUAAGUAGUUUUGCAUGAAUCA